GACGAACGCUGGCGGCGUGCUUAACACAUGCAAGUCGAACGCGCCUGUCCUCUGGGUUUCUGGGGGGUGGGUGAGUGGCGAACGGGUGAGUAACACGUGAGUAACCUGCCCCCUUCUUCGGGAUAACGGUCUGCAAGGGCUGCUAAUACCGGGUAUUCACUGGUCUCCGCAUGGGGUCUGGUGGACAGGUUUUUUUCUGGUGGGGGAUGGGCUCGCGGCCUAUCAGCUUGUUGGUGGGGUGAUGGCCCACCAAGGCUUUGACGGGUAGCCGGCCUGAGAGGGUGACCGGUCACAGUGGGACUGAGAUACGGCCCAGACUCCUACGGGAGGCAGCAGUGGGGAAUAUUGCACAAUGGGCGCAAGCCUGAUGCAGCGACGCCGCGUGAGGGAUGGAGGCCUUCGGGUUGUGAACCUCUUUCGCCCGUGGUCAAGCCGCGACGUGGGUCGUGGUGAGGGUAGUGGGUAAAGAAGCGCCGGCUAACUACGUG
rnacentral:rRNA from 1 species